rnacentral:rRNA from 1 species
CGGGAACCGAGGAGACAGGUGCUGCAUGGCUGUCGUCAGCUCGUGUCGUGAGAUGUUGGGUUAAGUCCGCAACGAGCGCAACCCUUAUCUUUAAUUGCCAGCAUUCAGUUGGGCACUUUAAAGAGACUGCCGGUGUUAAACCGGAGGAAGGUGGGAUGACGUCAAGUCCUCAUGGCCUUUAUGCUUAGGGCUACACACGUGCUACAAUGGGUGGUACAAAGAGAAGCCAACUCGCGAGAGCGCGCCAAUCUCAAAAAGCCAUCCUCAGUUCGGAUUGGAGUCUGCAACUCGACUCCAUGGAGUUGGAAUCGCUAGUAAUCGCGGAUCAGCAUGCCCGCGGUCGAAUACGUUCCCGGGCCUU